UACGUAGGGUGCGAGCGUUGUCCGGAAUUAUUGGGCGUAAAGAGCUUGUAGGCGGUUUGUCGCGUCUGCUGUGAAAAUCCGGGGCUCAACCCCGGACUUGCAGUGGGUACGGGCAGACUAGAGUGUGGUAGGGGAGACUGGAAUUCCUGGUGUAGCGGUGGAAUGCGCAGAUAUCGGGAGGAACACCAACGGCGAAGGCAGCUUGCUGGGACGGUACUGACGCUGAGAUGCGAAAGCGUGGGGAGCAAACAGG
rnacentral:rRNA from 1 species